rnacentral:siRNA from 1 species
UUGGCUGAUGUGAUGAUACAUGAC